GGGGAUGAGAGGUUGCUAUGGUGACCAGAUACCAGUGUUGGGAAGCUCUAACCUGCCCCAACAGGAGAAGUCAGCUCAGCUUCUUCCAUGUUUCUGAAUUAUCAGGAUGAGAUGGACAUCAGAAUUGUUCUGCCAGAUGCUAAUUAAAUAAUUUAAAAUAUUAGCAAACCAGAAGAAACAGGCCUGAUUUGGCACAUAGCCCCACAGUUUUGGACCAAGGCUGUCAGGGUUGCUGGUGAGAUGGGCAGACUGUGGCUUCCGAAGGAUAAAGGAACAAGAAAUAUGCCACCAAACAUCCUCCAAUGCAUAGGACAGCCCCCAACAGAGAGCCAUCAGCACAGACUGUCAAUGGUGCCGAGGGUGGGGAGUUCUGCCCUGCCAGGCUGGGUGCUUCCUGCCUGUUUGAGAUUGUCCAGUACCUUACAGAAUGUGUGCACAUGUACCCCUGCACUCUUAACCCAGAGUGAUUCAGUAUGAGAUUGUCACUUAAUGUGUAGCGGGUGCCACCACUUCACCCAAAACACAUUCUGGCCAGUUCUGAACUGCCUCCUCCUGUUCCCAAGGUAAUUCUCAAAUCAGAGAUGUUUUUACAAGUACUGCCUCCUCUCUGCCCACCCUUCCUGCUUGUUCCCAGUCUUUCUGGGAGAAAAGUGCAGCCUAAAUAUUAGUUAUUAUCAUGGUGACAAGAUUACCAGGGGAUUGUAUCUAAAAUGUUUUAUUCCAAGUAUGAUCAGUGGGGCUCUUCAGGAAAGAAACAAACAAGCUCAUUUUAUUUAUGCUGAAAGCUCCCCAUUUAGAACCCAAUUUCCUGCCUCCAUAACCCCCAUACUCUCCCCCAGUCCUGAGGUUUCUCUCCUGUGAAGGGCGGCCUUGAGGACAGUGUCUAGGACUCAGAGUCCUUGACUGUACCCAGUGCUCCUUCCCCAGGAGCCAGGACUCUUGGGAGUGUGUCUGCCAUUUAUUAUCUGAUUAGUCUCUCCAAGGGCAUCUUCAUUUGUCCUUCCCAGGCACGUUUCCAUUCAGACAGU
rnacentral:lncRNA from 1 species